rnacentral:rRNA from 1 species
UACGAAGGGGGCUAGCGUUGCUCGGAAUCACUGGGCGUAAAGGGUGCGUAGGUGGCGGGGUAAGUCUGGUGUGAAAUCUCGGAGCUCAACUCCGAAACUGCACUGGAUACUGCCUUGCUCGAGUACUGGAGAGGAGAUUGGAAUUUACGGUGUAGCGGUGAAAUGCGUAGAUAUCGUAAGGAAGACCAGUGGCGAAGGCGGGUCUCUGGACAGUUCCUGACGCUGAGGCACGAAGGCCAGGGGAGCAAACGGG